AACAGGGAUCAGUGGGAUGGCAGCAGGACCCCCACGUCCCGCAUGGGGCUGCGGGGACAGCUGCUCACUGCUGCUGCCACCCGUGCCACAGCUCGGGCACAGGUUUGUCCCCACUCCUGGCUCUCCCAGCCCCAUGCUGCCGGGCAGACACUCCCCUGGGGCUGGGAUGGGUGAGCACAGCAGCUCCCACCAGCACUGGCCAGGCUGGGUGCUCUGUGGGCUGCUUUCCCUCUCCCAGUGCUUCUCCUGUCCCGGUACUCGCUGGGAACCCAGAGCAGCUGUGACCUUCAGAACCCACCCAGGCCUGGGCUUGGCCUCCCAGGGUUUCCCAAAGCAGCUCUUGCCUGACUUUCAAAUGACUUUGAGGUAUGAAUUGCAACCAGCAGCAGUCUCUUCUAUUUCUGGUGCACUAGGGCUUAACCCUUUUCACUGACACCUUUAUUCCCAUUUUUAUUUGGCUAGAAAAAGAGUCUCCAGACUCCUCAAGCUCUUUGUUUCAGACCUUGGAAAGGCAGCAGGGAGUCAACUCCACAAGCCAAGGGGUGAAGGUAAAAAACAGCCAGGAUUUCUGGUGAAAAGCUCCUUUUCCCAAGCUCAUCUUGCCCAGCCCAGGAGGGUCCCUGCAGCUGGUGGGGAUCAUCCCCAGAGGGAGGGACCUGCCAGCCCUGGCUCUGCAAUGGCAGCAGACCCCAUCCUUGCCCACGGGGACACCUGCUUUGGGCACCCAGCUCCUCGUGCCUCUGAGGUCAAAACCCAUGUCUCCAGCCCCUAAAGUGGGACCUCUCUGCCAUGCUCUGCAGGAGUGCAGACCUCUUAUCCUGGGCUUUUAAACAUGUGUAACACCCAAACCACAAUGUUUUUGCUGUAAAAAUGGCAGGAAGGGCUGUGUAGACCAUGACUGCUCAAGCACACAUUUGUUGACAAAAGCUGAGUGCUGGAAUUAAAAAGCAGUAGCAGAA